rnacentral:misc_RNA from 1 species
AAGUCGUAACAAGGUUUCCGUAGGUGAACCUGCGGAAGGAUCAUUAACAAACAGCGAAGCACGCACAAUGUGAAACGCGGUAAAGUGUGCUGGUGGUGUCCCGGUGGGGAGUGGGGGCGCAGCAUGAACAACGAUUGUCAGAAGGAAUAAGUGCGUAUAACAACAACAACUUUUAACAAUGGAUCUCUUGGCUCUU